rnacentral:rRNA from 1 species
GGGCGGCUAAUACCGCAUACGUCCUGAGGGGGAAAGUGGGGGAUCUUCGGACCUCACGCUAUCAGAUGAGCCUAGGUCGGAUUAGCUAGUUGGUGGGGUAAAGGCCUACCAAGGCGACGAUCCGUAACUGGUCUGAGAGGAUGAUCAGUCACACUGGAACUGAGACACGGUCCAGACUCCUACGGGAGGCAGCAGUGGGGAAUAUUGGACAAUGGGCGAAAGCCUGAUCCAGCCAUGCCGCGUGUGUGAAGAAGGUCUUCGGAUUGUAAAGCACUUUAAGUUGGGAGGAAGGGCAGUAAGUUAAUACCUUGCUGUUUUGACGUUACCAACAGUAUAAGCACCGGCUAACUUCGUGCCAGCAGCCGCGGGUAAUACGGAGGGUGCGAGCGUUACUCGGCAAUUACUGGGGCGUAAAAGCGCGCGUAGGUGGUUCAGCAAAGUUGGAUGUGAAAUCCCCGGGCUCAACCCUGGGAACUGCAUCCAAAACUACUGAGCUAGAGUACGGUUAGAGGGUGGUGGAAUUUCCUGUGUAGCGGUGAAAAUGCGUUAGAUAUAGGAAGGGAACACCAGUGGCGAAGGCGACCACCUGGGACUGAUACUGACACUGAAGGUGGCGAAAGCGUGGGGAAGCAAACAGGAUUAGAUACCCUGUUAGUCCACGGCCGUAAACGAUGUCCGACUAGCCGUUGGGAUCCUUGAGAAUCUUAGUUGGCCCAGCUAACGCGGAUAGGUCGACCGCCUGGGGGAGUAACGGCCGCGAAGGUUAA